UCAAGAAACUUCCACAAUGGGCGAAAGCCUGAUGGAGCGACGUCGCGUGAUGGACGAAGUGCUUCGGCACGUAAACAUCUUUUAUGUGGGAUGAAAUUAUUGACAGUACCACAUGAAUAAGGGGCUCCUAACUCUGUGCCAGCAGGAGCGGUAAUACAGAGGCCCCAAGCGUUAUCCGGAAUCACUGGGCGUAAAGGGUGUCGAGGCGGUUGUAUUAGUCGUUCGUAAAAUCUACGAGCUUAACUUGUAGGCGGCGAACGAAACGGUACGACUUGAGGUUUGGAGAGGUGCGUGGAACUCACGGUGUAGGGGUGAAAUCCGUUGAUAUCGUGGGGAACACCAAAGGCGAAGGCAGCGCACUGGCCAAAAUCUGACGCUCACACACGAAAGCUAGGGUAGCGAAGAGGAUUAGAUACCCUUGUAGUCCCUGAGCGGGCUGGCAAGGC
rnacentral:rRNA from 1 species